UACGUAGGGUCCGAGCGUUGUCCGGAGUUACUGGGCGUAAAGCGCGCGCAGGCGGCGGUGCUGGCCCGGCGUGAAAGCCCCCGGCUCAACCGGGGAGAGUCGUCGGGGACCGCACCGCUUGAGGGCGGUAGGGGCUGGUGGAAUGCCUGGUGUAGUGGUGAAAUGCGUAGAGAUCAGGCAGAACACCUGGGGCGAAGGCGGCCAGCUGGGCCGUCCCUGACGCUGAGGCGCGAAGGCGUGGGGAG
rnacentral:rRNA from 1 species